GCCAGUGUGGUGUAGUGGUCUGAGUGUUGGACUACAACUCUGGAGAUCAGGGUUCGAUUCCCCGCUUAGCCA
rnacentral:tRNA from 1 species